CUGUUGUACCCUGUAUAAUUUUUCUCCAAAAAAAAGCAUCAUUCGUUAAAGAGAAAUUCAGCCGAGCCAUUGAAAAGGGCACCCUGUACCUCACAUUCAUGGGUAUAAUGUUAAUUGUUGUUUGUAACCGUGCCUCCUAGAUCGUCAUGUUUUCUACACUGAGAGAACUCACGUCGCAUUGUAGCCACCACUUCACCUCCCCUUAACCUCACAACACAUUCUACUUCUCAACUUUUUCCAUCUUCUUCUCUUGUCUUAUGAGAAGGUGUCCUUCUCGGCUUUAUCAAUUAUACAGUCUGUUAGGCAUAGAGAUGUACUAUUUUAUGAGGUUGUUUGUUUAGUAAACAUAUUUUAACCUUUUCAGGUGUUUGCCACCGAUACCUUCUA